rnacentral:rRNA from 1 species
GACGGAGGAUGCAAGUGUUAUCCGGAAUCACUGGGCGUAAAGCGUCUGUAGGUGGUCAAAUAAGUCAACUGUUAAAUCUUGGGGCUCAACCUCAAAAUCGCAGUCGAAACUAUUCGACUAGAGUAUAGUAGGGGUAAGGGGAAUUUCCAGUGGAGCGGUGAAAUGCGUAGAGAUUGGAAAGAACACCGAUGGCGAAGGCACUUUACUGGGCUAUUACUAACACUGAGAGACGAAAGCUAGGGUAGCAAAUGGG